rnacentral:tRNA from 1 species
GCCGGAGUGGCGAAAUGGCAGACGCAUCAGCUUUAGGAGCUGACGAUGGAAACAUCAUGGAGGUUCAAGUCCUCUCUCCGGCACCA